AUAAAAAAAGAUUAUUAUUUAUCUCAGAUAUGAUUAGAAAUCAGUAUCAGUUCAUAAAAUAUACUUUGUUACAUAAACAACUGAAAAUGUUAGAAGUCAAAUCAUGAAGUGGUAAAGAUUUGAGAUACAUGAAGACUGAGAAUUAACUACUAAAACUUUUCAGGGCUUGAGAACUCCUAUUAGAGAAUCCUAGUGAAGUCUCCAUCAAGUCCUCCUUUGCAUUGGUAGCGUUUAUAUUUGGACUGCAAGG
rnacentral:lncRNA from 1 species